CGUGUAGGCGGUUUUUUAAGUCUGAUGUGAAAGCCCCGGGCUCAACCCGGGAAGUGCAUUGGAUACUGGGAGACUUGAAUACGGGAGAGGGUAGUGGAAUUCCUAGUGUAGGAGUGAAAUCCGUAGAUAUUAGGAGGAACACCGGUGGCGAAGGCGGCUACCUGGACCGAUAUUGACGCUGAGACGCGAAAGCGUGGGGAGCAAACAGGAUUAGAUACCCUGGUAGUCCACGCCGUAAACGAUGAGAACUAGGUGUUGCGGGUAUUGACCCCUGCAGUGCCGCAGCUAACGCAUUAAGUUCUCCGCCUGGGAAUACGGUCGCAAGACUAAA
rnacentral:rRNA from 1 species